GGGUCGUUAGCUCAGUUGGUAGAGCAGUGGACUUUUAAUCCAUGGGUCCUGGGUUCGAGCCCCAGACAACCCA
rnacentral:tRNA from 1 species